rnacentral:rRNA from 1 species
GGGUUGUGAGGUUAAGCGACUAAGCGUACACGGUGGAUGCCCUGGCAGUCAGAGGCGAUGAAGGACGUGCUAAUCUGCGAUAAGCGUCGGUGAGGUGAUAUGAACCGUUAUAACCGGCGAUUUCCGAAUGGGGAAACCCAGUGUGUUUCGACACACUAUCAUUAACUGAAUCCAUAGGUUAAUGAGGCGAACCGGGGGAACUGAAACAUCUAAGUACCCCGAGGAAAAGAAAUCAACCGAGAUUCCCCCAGUAGCGGCGAGCGAACGGGGAGCAGCCCAGAGCCUGAAUCAGUGUGUGUGUUAGUGGAAGCGUCUGGAAAGGCGCGCGAUACAGGGUGACAGCCCCGUACACAAAAAUGCACAUGCUGUGAGCUCGAUGAGUAGGGCGGGACACGUGGUAUCCUGUCUGAAUAUGGGGGGACCAUCCUCCAAGGCUAAAUACUCCUGACUGACCGAUAGUGAACCAGUACCGUGAGGGAAAGGCGAAAAGAACCCCGGCGAGGGGAGUGAAAAAGAACCUGAAACCGUGUACGUACAAGCAGUGGGAGCCUCUUUAUGGGGUGACUGCGUACCUUUUGUAUAAUGGGUCAGCGACUUAUAUUCUGUAGCAAGGUUAACCGAAUAGGGGAGCCGAAGGGAAACCGAGUCUUAACUGGGCGUUAAGUUGCAGGGUAUAGACCCGAAACCCGGUGAUCUAGCCAUGGGCAGGUUGAAGGUUGGGUAACACUAACUGGAGGACCGAACCGACUAAUGUUGAAAAAUUAGCGGAUGACUUGUGGCUGGGGGUGAAAGGCCAAUCAAACCGGGAGAUAGCUGGUUCUCCCCGAAAGCUAUUUAGGUAGCGCCUCGUGAAUUCAUCUCCGGGGGUAGAGCACUGUUUCGGCAAGGGGGUCAUCCCGACUUACCAACCCGAUGCAAACUGCGAAUACCGGAGAAUGUUAUCACGGGAGACACACGGCGGGUGCUAACGUCCGUCGUGAAGAGGGAAACAACCCAGACCGCCAGCUAAGGUCCCAAAGUCAUGGUUAAGUGGGAAACGAUGUGGGAAGGCCCAGACAGCCAGGAUGUUGGCUUAGAAGCAGCCAUCAUUUAAAGAAAGCGUAAUAGCUCACUGGUCGAGUCGGCCUGCGCGGAAGAUGUAACGGGGCUAAACCAUGCACCGAAGCUGCGGCAGCGACGCUUAUGCGUUGUUGGGUAGGGGAGCGUUCUGUAAGCCUGCGAAGGUGUGCUGUGAGGUAUGC